UUUUGGCUUACAGUUCUAAGGGAUAC
rnacentral:piRNA from 1 species